AUGAGAGAUGAGACAGGGAGGUUGAGGACGGUCACGGUGGGGGAAUUGGCGGCGAAAUCGUCAGAAAAUCGGAGAAGAAGAGGUGGCCGCCGCGUCUGUGACAGAAGAGGGAAAAGGAAUUUUUUGGGAUUUCACGUGAAGUUUAAGGGUCAUAACAAAUUCUCAAACCCAAGUUUACUUAAUCCCUUUCAAUUUUAUUUUUUUGUGUUUUGCUGUUUAUUUGUUACUAUCCGAAUAAAUAAUAACAAAAUGGAAAUUUCUUUGGACACUUUUUAG